AAUAUAGAUAUGAAGAUGUUGACAAGAUAUUUCCUGUUGUUUGCCCUACAAUACAGUAUUGUUGUAAGCAGUCAAUGUUUGUUGGAAAACCCGAAACCUGGAGGUAUCAAGUAUUGGAUUUUAACCUAUUCAUGCAGUACAACAAAUAUAGAAAUACGAACGUCUGUCUAUACAAACAGCAACGGCAGUGGUUAAUAUUCUACAAAUAUAGGAACAGAAAACUAACUAUUUUCUGAACCAUACUUUUUGUGCAGAAUUAUGUAUCAAUAAUUUUAUUGAAGUGCCUUCACAUAAUUCUGCAGAACAUUCUUCGAUCUGGUGAUUAAAUAUAUUCUAUUGAAUCUCUGUCCGUUAAGAGCACUUUACUGUAUAUCUUAAUUAGCAUAGAAACCACAAAGGGUUCGAUAAAUAGGUAUAGAUAAAUAGGCAUGGAUAAAACAUUUUAAAGAUGAGUCUCACAUCAUGGUAUUGCAAGCUUAAAAUUCUGUUUGAGGCCAUUUUAUGAGCCGAGUGAAUCCAAAUAUUUUUUAUUGGGUAAGAUAAAAACAAUAACAGACGCGCGCGAUACCAUAGUGUGACACUAACCCUUUAAUGAAAUUGGUUACUACAAGAUGUUUUCGCCAAUCACUGUUUUAGAACUUCAUCCAUCUAUUGAAUUGGAGGUGAUAACUAAAGAAACAUAUCCUCAAAACAAUGAUACGCAUGUAACCGUACGAUGCAAAGCUACAGCACCAGUCAUCAACUCACAACUGUAUAACCCGACUCUCCUAAAUCCAUCCGUAAUAUUAUUCUUCUUCAAUGACAAGCGCGUUCCAGUUAGCAACUGUCGACCAUCGUCAGGAAAUAAACAAAAGAUAUGUGAAUUGGUAAUACCAAAACCUGAAGGAGAGGGUGCAGGGAAGUAUUAUUGUAUGGCCAGAAAUGGAAUCCGCUGUACAACAAUGGGAGUCAGUAUUCCUUCCAAUCCGUGCCCAG